AUGAUGGCAAGAAGUUUACUGUAAUCAGUCACUAAAAUUAUAGUAUAUGAAAAUGGUACAAAAUGAUGGUACACAAACAAAAGAAACAGUGUUCAAAAACAAAAUAAUGUAACACUCAAACUUCCAAAAAGAGUGUUAUGUGCCACCUUAAUAAGAUACCACUCCUAACGUAGUGCUUAAAAUCCUGAUACAUUUACAAUUUUUAGUGCCACCAAUAAAAAAUAUAUUAAAAUAACAUUUUAGUAGAAGCAAACAAAACGUGGAGGCUAAGAGCAUCUUUAUUGCGGUUUCCUAAAUGAGUUUUAAAACAAAUAACAUCUAUUAAUUAAAGGAAAACUAAAUUAAAAUUUGUAUAACCGAUCUUUAAUCUGUGAUUUUCGGAUCUGUUUCUUAAGGAAAGAAGGACACACGUGUCAGAAUGUGGGCAACACAAUUAAUUUUUUUUUUCUUUUUCUUUUUCUCUUCCCCGGUUCUUCGACAUCUCUUCGUUUUCUUCGUCAUCUCUUCGGUUCUUCGACAUCUCAGAGGACGACGAUGGUUUGUUCUUCGUCUUCUCUUCGUCGAUCGAUUGAAGAUCAGAAUUGAUGGUUUGUUCUUCGUCUUCUCUUCGUCGAUUGAUGGAAGAUGAGACUUGAUGGUUUGUUCUUCGUCUUCUCUUCUCUUCGUUCUUCGUCUUCUCUUCGUCGAUGGUUUGUUUUUGGGGCAGAGUUUGUCGAUUGAUGGAAGAUCAGAGUCAUCCAUCAAGGAAGGAGAAGCUGAGAUUCAACGAUCACAAGAAGAAUCAAGUCUUCUUCAAUAAAGCUCAGGUUCCAAGCACAGAGAUAGAAAAAUCAGAGACACGAGAUCUUGGGAGCUAAGUUGUCUUCUUCUUGAGUAAGUGUGUUCCAUUUAGUCACGGACACAAGUAUUGGUCUUGAUGUGUAGUAAGUUUAGUCUUCUCAUGUCAAUGCAAGUGUAUUCAAGAUUGUUGUGUCUAUAGCUUUGUUGUUGUUGUCUGUCACGGACAAGAGGUCAGUGUAAUGUGGUCCUUGUUGUUUUGUGUCACAGAUAAGAGGUCAAAUUAUGUUGUGUUGUUGUUUUGUGUCACGAACAAGAUGUUGUAAUGAAUUAAUAAUAUAUUGUAUGUGUCGCAAACUUGUAUAAAUAAACAUUUGUUCUUCCUUUACA